UAACACAGAUACCCAGUGGUCGCCUGGAUGGAGUGAUACAGAGAGGGAGAGAACCAGCACACAGUGCUUUGCCGGGCAGAAACUAGAGCCUUAAUAAGGUGAUGGGUACUAUCACAUACGUCAUCCAAAGGAGCCUGGCGAUCUGGUGUCUCCGGCGGAAUGACGUCAGCAUUACAGCGCCGUGGAAUGGCGGCGGGAAGGUGCACGGGGUGUUUUUUCAAUAAAAGAAUCCCUGUGCUGUGAGCUGAUUCUAUCUGAGCUUUGGAGGAUCAAAUACCCCCCCGUGACGUGUCGUCACCCUUUAAGUGUUCCGACCCCCAGGCUGUGAACAAUAGACGGAAGACAACAGCUUUUGAUGUGCUUGCCAUAUUUACUCAUAUGGUACGCUUAAUACCUACAUGAAUGUUGUCGUGACAGAGA